ACCACAAAGCCUAAAGGAGCCUAGAACUGUUAGAAAAUUAUACAUUCAUUGAAAGAGUUCAUUUCAAUAAAGAGGCCUCGAAGAAAAUCACUCUUCUCCUGCAAACACACACCACCUGCGGGGAGAGGAGGCCGGUUGUAAGUGAUGGAAGGGGCACACUACUACUGGAUUUUAUGGAGGUGGGAGAAAACGAUCAAAGGGGGAGAGCAGAGUUGCUUCUGGGAAGCAAUUGCCUGGCCAGAGACUACAUUUCCCAGCCUCCCUUGCACGGAUGUGGGACUAUGGACUAGCUCUUAUCAGUGAAACAAGAGCAGAGCUGAAGAGGUGCUGUAUUCCAGGGACCAUGACACCUCACCUUCCGGCUCCUGCAUCCUUCCUGCAGUAUCUAAGGGGACAGUGAGUUUAGAUGCCACUGAUACAAUCCCAACAUCACAAAAUGGAAGGAGUUUGGGUUCCAGAGUAACCAGCCUCGCAGGAGAGCUGCCAGACUUGCCUUGGACAGUGACACGAGGGAGAAACAAACGUAUAUGUGAGAUCGCUGAGGUCAUGUUACCGCGACUGAAGUAAGAUAAGGUGGUGUCCGGAGUAUGGGGUCUGGAGCUUGACUACCUGGAUUCAAAUCCCUGCUCAGUCAUCUCUUGGCUGUGUGACUUAAGAUGAGAAGAUACAUCGCUUCUGCUUCUAAGAGUCGGUGAUCCUCAUCCUUCUCUCUGCACCUGCCCUUGCCGUGUCCUUGGUCAGCACAGAGGAAGGACAACAGCACAUCUCCCUCACAUCGGAAGUGGCUCCACAAGUUGGCCUUCACUGCCAUCAACCCUAACAGAUGUGGUGCUCUAUCUCCACAGUCCUCCAGAGAGCCCUCAAGUCCCUCAGGGUGUCUUUACUCCAAGAAGGGGUUCUAGACUAGACAAGCAGAGGUGUUGCAGAAAGGAAGAUACUGCAAAGGAUUCAGGCAGCAAAGGGUGUGCUCCCCACACUGGGGAAGACAUCUGGGCAGAAGGGCCUGGGCUGGACCUCACAUCCAUCCCUCUUCCCUUGGGGUCCUUGACCACCCUUGAGAAUGGCACCUACAUGCUCUAAUUCUCCAUAAAAUCCAGAGGCAAAAUGUCCCUGCUGUAAAGACCUUGAACCCUUUUUGGGAAGGUUUUAUGAACUUAAUAUCGUGGGUUGCUCUAACCCCAGCCUUUGUCCUGACAGCAUCUGCUCAGGGAGUUUGAGAUUCAGCCAGUCUGUAAAGAGCUUCAGAUCCAGGGCUUUGAGGUGGGGAGAAGUGGUCACCUUGGAGAAAGCAGGACACUGUGGCCAGCUGGGGCAUUCUUUGCUAUAGAUUCCAAGAGACAAACUUGCUGAUCCCAGGUCAAUUCUGCCCCUGCUUCCCUGCAUCUAGAACCAUCUCUGACUCCACCUCCCAUUAACACCCCAGAACAGAUUCCCUACCCACCUCCUCAAGAAGAACAUUGCCUCCGGGGAUUUUCUAAGAGUUUUUAGGAUAAGCAGCAGUUAGAAGCUAACAAUAAGUAAAAUUUCCAGAAAUCAAGAGAAACUUGCAAUGUUCCUUGACACUUUAAAUGAUGCACUUGAAACAAGAGGCUUGCAUUAGGAUCUAAAUUAGAGUUCUUGAGUGGCUUUUUGUAUUUUUUCUUUCACGUUAACCUGACUACAACUUUAUCUCCUCCAUUCACUUCCAAGAAGUCCUUAUAUAAUAAAGAGUUGAAGGCUGAAGCCCUUGCUUCCUCAAUAGGGGGCAGGCUCACCAGCUCCAUCUUGUCAGUUACCUCUUAAUGGUUGGUAGGAUGAGGGAAGCUUUCUCAAAAGACAGUUAAAAUAGUGCUUUAAGAAAUCCUCCGCCAAUAAAAAGUUGCUUCCAGAGUUAUAAAGUCAGUUUUCUUAACCUCUCAAUCUCAACUCAACUCAAAUUACAAAGUUUACAUGCCUUUGGGGAUGGCUGUAUUAAGUAAAUAGAGAGGAAUGGUCACAUUCAGUGUAAGCUAAAACACCCAAGGCUGGCAGUAGGAAAAGGAGCUACCUACCUAUCAGGUCUUUCAUAAAGCCAGUCCCUUAAGUAGAAAGAAUAAAGUUCUCUCAAGACUUACCCUAUGGACUGCCUUUCACAGCUGGUUCAUAUUUAUAAGCCAAUUUGUCUGGAAGUAAAUCUCUUUAACACACCCAACUGACUCCAAGAGGUGUGUCCCAUGGGAACCAAUCUUAAAUAACCGUCUCAAGAAAAGUUUUAGCAGCAAUAUUGUCAGUCCUGGAAUUUCCACCUUUGGGGGGGAAAAAAUCAACAAUAGAAUGCUUGGAAAUACAGAAUACACAGAGUUUAGCAAACUGCCAAAUUAAAUUCAGACACACACACACAAAUUUGCUAAUACCUGGUUAAAGAGUUGGCAUGGGAAGAAACAGACUUCUCAUUCAAGCCUGAAGCUCGGUAAUGGGUCAUUUGACCUGAAAUAACUUGGGCGGAAGUUGGCCUUAUUGUCUUCCACAAUCUCUUCCCACGCAGUCAAAAAAGGGGAUGCAAUCUUAAGAUUUUUUCUUCCUCAUUCUCUCCCGCCCUUUCUCCUCUCCCUCCCUCCCUUUUAUUUUCUCUCUCUCCUUCCUUCCUUCUUUUCUUUCUCUUUCAAUCUUUGGGCAUCAAAAAGGGUAUCCCAGAAAACUUCAAAUGAAGUUUUAGAAGAAGACUGUGUGUUGGUUUCAGUUGUUUUUAGGGUAGGGGCUUGAACAACCUCAUCUCAAAAAUGGAGAUUUUUUUUUAUUACCUCUUUUGGUUGAGAUAUAAUUAAUAUAUAAUAAAGCUAUCUAAUUUACUGAAUUGGUCUGAUUCACAAGUUAAAUAAGGUUAAAUCAAAGAAAACAUGUAUAAGUCCCUCUAGACAGUGUCCAGGGUUGACUGGAUUAUAAACAGACAUAACCACUGAGGUCACUUUUUAAUUUAAAAACCCUCAAUGGCUCCUGACUUCCUACAGAACAGUCUAAAAAUCUAAGGCUCAAAAAUGUCAGGCUCUCCUUUCUAGUGCUACCUGCUGCCCCCAUCUCUUAUACAUACCAUUUGUCAGAUGCAACCAGAUAAUAGAAAUUUCCAGUCUCUCAGCUUCCUCCUGCUGCCCCAGGUCUGCUUAUCAAGGCCCUGCCCAUCCUUCAAAGUCAGAAGUCAUCUCCUCCAUGGAGUCCUCCAGGUCAGUACCGCUGGUAUUCAUUUCCUUGCCUAUGGCCUACCUCAUUACAUUGUAUUGCUGCUAAGGUAUUUGACACAUUGUUUCAUAUUAACUACUUCCUGUGACGAGCACCCUUCUUUCGUGUAAUUUUGAUAAACAUUCAUUGAGCAUCUAUAAUAUGUGGGCAGAGAGCCAGGCAUGGGGAGGAGCUCGGCAGAGGUACAGAGAUGAGUGACGUGGUGUUUACUCUGGAAGAGCUCAGGGCCUGGUGGGGAGCCUUGAGGUGGCAAGUCCCACCAUGCACGAUCCAUCUCCAGCAGUGUCUACGGUUUCCAUGCACACCAGAUAUAGAUGCUAAUACAAAUGAAGCCGUGCUAAAGGUGAAAAAAAAAAAAAA
rnacentral:lncRNA from 1 species